UGCAUUGUUCUGUGAUUUGCUUGAUUCUUGAGAGAAUUGGAGGAUCCAAGGCUAUAUUCAUGAUCAACACUGGUUUUCGAGUAAGGUGAAGGUUAUGAUUUGGUUUCUGAGAACCUCCGCCAUCGAGGACCGCCUCCGGCACGACGGAGGGGGGUAACGGAGCAUGAAAAUGAGUUAGAUGGAUGAGAGAUAGAUAGUUCGUGUUCAUUUUCUCGUCCUGAGUUUUUCGUUUUAUGACUUUUUUACCAUGUGUGUUUUAAUGUUACUUGAGUCCAUCGUCCACGCGCAUAACGUUCAUUGGAUUACAUUUGAUCGCAUUGACUGAUGCAGAUUUCUGUUAUUCAUUGAUGGUCCACUGCUGACUCAGAAGACACAUCACACAUUGCCUUAUUUGUUUCCCAUGAUUGCAAGUGUUGUAAUUUUGAUGGGCCAUGAUACUUUUUCUUUAUGCCAUUUUGCUAAUACUACAUUAUUUCAAUGGUGCACCCCCUGGUCUCAUCAUAAUUUUGAUUGGGCUUUAAGAUCUUAGGCCCACGCGCCCAUUACUUCUGCACCCAUAUUUGCAUAAUGUAAACCUCUCUGGACCAAUUAGUUUUUUAUUGAGUUUUCUUGCAUUUUCU
rnacentral:lncRNA from 1 species